ensembl:snRNA U6 U6 spliceosomal RNA
GUGCUCGCUUCGGCAGCGCAUAUACUAAAAUUGGAAUGAUACAGAGUUAAUUAGCAUGGUCCCUGUGCAAGGGUGACAUGCAGAUGCGUGGUGUUCCAUGUUUUU